GGAGGUGAGGGGAAAGGGGCAGCCUGCGAGGGGGCUUCAGGAGCCUGGGCAGUUACAGCAGGCUUUAGCCUGAGGGCUCAGGAAGCCACUGAAAGGUUUUAAGUAGGGAGUGACAUACCAGAUUUGCAUUUUAAAAAGAUGGCUCCCGCUCAGGACUGGAGGGGGUGUGACCAGUUGGACCAGAGCUAGGUGAGAGAUGACAGGCCAAAGGCUUAGGAGAAAGGGGGCAGGAACUUGGUGACCUCUGGAGCUGGGGACCAAAGAGGCCAGUGAAGUUGAGGAUUUGGGGGAGACUUCGUGGGCUCCUGACCCUCCCCCUCCCAGUCUGGCUCCCGCUGCAUUCUGGGUUCUUCUCUGACUGUCCUAGAUGAGUGCUGUCUGUGACUAGUCCAGCCCUCAGGGUUGCUUUCUACCUAACUCCAGAAAAGCAUCUCCUGUCUGGGAUGGGCUCACCAGAUGUUCCCCAGAUGUUGCUGGUGAUGAGAAACAUCUUCCUCUGGGAUCCCAAGCCUUUGAGGAUGAAGGAGAUGAGCCUUUUUGGCAGUCACACAUGUGGAACUUAAUCCUGGUUUGCUUUGUAACUUGAUUGAUAGUAUGUUUUAUCAUGCGAAAGUUUAACAGUUUUAUGUAGCCAAAGUUCUUAGAUAUUUACCUUAGGGAUCCUGGUUUUUGUGUGCUGCAUUCCCUAUCAUAAUAUUACAAUAAAUUCACCUAUUCUUUUCUCAAGAGUUUUAUGGUCUUAUUUUUAACAUAUAAAAUCCUUUGUCCAUUUGGGAUUUAUUUUGACUUAAGGAAUGAUAUAGGUUUUACACUUUACUUUUCCC